UAGGGUUUUUGCUACUCUCGUUUAUCAACAACGUAAAGGCAUCUCUGAAAAUCAGCAACGUUCCAGGCCUGAAACCUUGGAAAUUGGCAGAGGCUGCAUCCCUCAAAGAGAAGAUUAACCGAAUGUUUGUCUUGCAAACGUUGAUCCUAUUGAUGUUGCCAGAAAUAUUGCAGCGUUAAACCCAGAAACUACCCUCGAUGGCUGGAACUUUUGGUUUUGGCAAUGACUGGCUGGGUGAAGGAGCUUUUGAGGAAUUAUUGUAACAAGAAUUUCAGAAAUUGAGGUCUCUUGUGGCUUUUGGAA